GGGCUGAUGGCGCAACCGGACCAGCGCAGCGGACUUUUAAUCCGAAGGUUGUGGGUUCGAAUCCCACUUGGCCCACCA
rnacentral:tRNA from 1 species